UACGUAGGGGGCAAGCGUUGUCCGGAAUCAUUGGGCGUAAAGAGCGCGUAGGCGGCCCAGUAAGUCCGCUCUGAAAGUCAGGGGCUCAACCCCUGAAUGCGGGUGGAUACUGCUGGGCUAGAGUCCGGAAGAGGCGAGUGGAAUUCCUGGUGUAGCGGUGAAAUGCGCAGAUAUCAGGAGGAACACCGAUGGCGAAGGCGGUUGCCUGGAGCUUUGCUGACGCUGAGGCGCGAAAGCGUGGGGAGCGAUCCGG
rnacentral:rRNA from 1 species